UUCUCUCGACAAAAAAUAAGCACACCGACUCCCUUUCUCUCUCGCGAUGGCGAUCAAACAAGGUGAUGAGUCGACGCUGAUUUCGUGGGUUCCCGAUGAGUCGACGCCGAUUUCGUGGAUUGCCAAUGAUGAUUGAAAAUUUUGCGCAAGGGUUUUGAGUUUCGGAUGAUUGGAGGUUACUCUAAUAUAAAUGAACCGUGACAAAAUCAUUUUCUAAUAAUUCAUUCUGAUGGCUGCUGAUCAUUGCUAGAUAAAUCAAAUUUGAUUUCGAUUUUUGGGUACAUGGUUUAAUUUGGAUAGUUAAUUGUAGUUUGUUUGUUGAAAGAAGCUUGGUUUUGGGGGAUCUUUACGACUUUUAGGAUUGAGGUUUUCAAUUCUUUUAGCCUUAAUGUUUUGAAUUGUUUUGUGUAAUGAGUUUCUGAGGAUCUGAGGAAUUAUGAGAAGUCAUGUAUUCAAGUUCUGCUAUUAAGUUCCUGACGGCUGUGAUCAAGUCGAUUUUUUUUCUUUCUAUUUUGAUUGUUUGGGUUGCAGUGUAUUGUUCUAUGAGCUACAGGACUAUGCUAGAUUCUGGUCUGGACAUAAGUUGCUUUGGAUGUGUGAAAAUUAUGCCUAGUGGAUUGGGAUUAGCAUUUUGUUAUCUAAGGGAAUCAUUGAGUUAGUGACCAGCUCCAAAUAUGCAAGAAAUUGUGAAAAUGCAUUAGUUUAGUCCUCUUUUCGGGUAUCUAUAUGCCUUAACACUACAAUUGCUCAGUGCUUGUGCUCCUUGCUGUUCUUAAUUUUGAUUAUGUACUAGUUUGUUUAGGUGCUAUUGUUAUAUUGCAGGAUAUGGCGGAGGCAGAAGACUUCUUAAGCGCUAAAGGCAAAAGACUUGUAAUUGGAUUUAUUUUUGUGUUGAAUUGAACAAUAUUAUGUUCUACCAGUUAGUUGUGACAAUGCAGAUGGAGUUACUGGAAUACUGUUGUAACUGUUAUAGCUAGCUGAUGAGUCCUACUAGUUAGAUAAAAGGUCUCCUUAUGUUCUUCAGCCUACAAUCUAAUACUUGCUGCAACAGUUUAGUAAUUCAAAUAUUUUAGGAUUUUAGCAAAAAUGAAACUCUAUUUGCAAAACCCAUCAACAAGGACCAUACUUUUCAAGACGAUCAAGAUAGGGGAAGCCAAAACCCCUAGCACUUGCCCACCUCCCAAAGCUGCUGGAAUAACCAGGUCUCCUUACCGCCUCCUCCAAACGAUCCUGUCGCUUCAAGGAUUGCAUCUGAUGGCUGCAAGGAAUCAAUUGAUAACACAAGACGAAGGAACGAGCCUCUAUCUGAUCUAUCUUAGCUUAAGUGUAAACAAACCUUGUCUUCUUAAUGGCAAAAUUUGUAUAGGCCAAGUAGAAGUCAAGACACCAAAUCUCUGUCUUGAAUCUCUGUUUUAUAGUCACUCAAAAAUCAAAAUAUGUGUAGAUCAUGAAUCUAUAUUAUAAUUUUUAUAAAAAAAAAAAAAAUUCUGAGAACCCAUCUUGAAAGACUACCAUUGGACUAUAAAUUUUUUUUUUAAAAAAGCACAAGCUCUCAUUUAACCAAUUUCAAAAAUUUAUAUUAAAUAAAUGGAGAGAGCUCAUGGGGAGCUCUCAACCAUUGGAGAUGCUCUAACCAAACCAAAUUCACACGUCUCUAUUCGUUCGAGUUUCGACCUCUCCUUUACAUAUUUCGACUUUCGUGGUCUUAGAUUGCAAGUGCUCCUGUUCUCACAAGUGCUAAUAAAUUUAUAUAUAGGUUGCAAACAAACAAAAUUAUACUUUUACGUACAAGUUCCUUUAAGAAGCAUUACUAAUUAACUCUGGUUUUCUGUACUUAGGUGUUUUUUUUUUUUGGGACAGCAAUCUUGGAGAAAGUUAUAGGUGAAAACAACAUCACGAUAAAAGAAAUCAGAUUUCAAAAUUGGACGUUGCAUUUAGGGCACCAGAGGAAGAGACUCUAACGGAAGAGGUUCAGCCGGAGCUAAUGCCGAAACACACAUGGUUAUUAUAAUCGAAGAGAAGAAAUGAGACUGAGAGUGAGAUUGGUUUACAGUUGUAUUUAUUCUAGCCCACCUAAGUAGAUGAACAAUUCUUUUUAUUUGUUAAAUGUUAUCUGAAAUAUACGUAUUUUACAAUACUUCA